rnacentral:tRNA from 1 species
CGGGAUAUAGCGCAGUUUGGUAGCGCGCCUGCCUUGGGAGCAGGAUGUCGUAGGUUCAAGUCCUGCUAUCCCGA